rnacentral:rRNA from 1 species
AGCGGCAGGCUUAACACAUGCAAGUCGAGGGGCAUCGGGAGGGAAGCUUGCUUUCCUUGCCGGCGACCGGCGCACGGGUGAGUAACACGUAUGCAACCUGCCCUCUUCAGGGGGACAACCUUCCGAAAGGGAGGCUAAUCCCGCGUAUAUCGGUUUCGGGCAUCCGAGAUCGAGGAAAGAUUCAUCGGAAGAGGAUGGGCAUGCGGCGCAUUAGCUUGACGGCGGGGUAACGGCCCACCGUGGCGACGAUGCGUAGGGGUUCUGAGAGGAAGGUCCCCCACACUGGUACUGAGACACGGACCAGACUCCUACGGGAGGCAGCAGUGAGGAAUAUUGGUCAAUGGGAGAGAUCCUGAACCAGCCAAGCCGCGUGAGGGAAGACGGCCCUAUGGGUUGUAAACCUCUUUUGUCGGAGAGCAAAACCCGGGACGUGUCCCGGACUGCGUGUAUCCGAAGAAAAAGCAUCGGCUAACUCCGUGCCAGCAGCCGCGGUAAUACGGAGGAUGCGAGCGUUAUCCGGAUUUAUUGGGUUUAAAGGGUGCGUAGGCGGUCCGUUAAGUCAGCGGUAAAAUUGCGGGGCUCAACCCCGUCGAGCCGUUGAAACUGGCAGACUUGAGUUGGCGAGAAGUACGCGGAAUGCGCGGUGUAGCGGUGGAAAUGCAUAGAUAUCGCGCAGAACUCCCGAUUGCGAAGGCAGCGUACCGGCGCCAGACUGACGCUGAGGCACGAAAGCGUGGGGGAUCGAACAGGAUUAGAUACCCUGGUAGUCCACGCAGUAAACGAUGAAUGCUGGUUGUCCGGGUCGAAUGAGAUCUGGGCGGCGAAGCGAAAGCGAUAAGCAUUCCACCUGGGGAGUACGCCGGCAACGGUGAAACUCAAAGGAAUUGACGGGGGCCCGCACAAGCGGAGGAACAUGUGGUUUAAUUCGAUGAUACGCGAGGAACCUUACCCGGGCUCAAACGGGAGCGGAAUGGACCAGAGACGGUUCAGCCUACGGGCCGCUUCCGAGGUGCUGCAUGGUUGUCGUCAGCUCGUGCCGUGAGGUGUCGGCUUAAGUGCCAUAACGAGCGCAACCCCCGCCGGCAGUUGCUAACGGGCAAUGCCGAGGACUCUGCCGGGACUGCCGCCGCAAGGCGUGAGGAAGGCGGGGAUGACGUCAAAUCAGCACGGCCCUUACGUCCGGGGCGACACACGUGUUACAAUGGGCGGUACAGCGGGAAGCCAGGCGGCGACGCCGAGCGGAACCCGAAAGCCGUUCUCAGUUCGGAUCGGAGUCUGCAACCCGACUCCGUGAAGCUGGAUUCGCUAGUAAUCGCGCAUCAGCCAUGGCGCGGUGAAUACGUUCCCGGGC